AUUGAACGCUGGCGGCAUGCCUAACACAUGCAAGUCGAACGAGUGGCGGACGGGUGAGAAAUGUCUGGGACCCUGCUCGAUGGAUGGGGAUAACUACUGGAAACGGUAGCUAAUACCGCAUACCAUCGGAUGUGCCCAGAUGGGAUUAGCUAGUAGGUGGGGUAACGGCUUACCUAGGAGACGAUCCAUAGCUGGUAUGAGAGGAUGACCAGCCACACUGGAACUGAGACACGGUCCAGACUCCUACGGGAGGCAGCAGUGGGGAAUAUUGCACAAUGGGCGAAAGCCUGAUGCAGCAAUGCCGCGUGUGUGAAGAAGGCCUUCGGGUUGUAAAGCACUUUUAGCAGGGAAGCGUUACUCGCAGAAGAAGCAACGGCUAACUCCGUGCCAGCAGCCGCGGUAAUUC
rnacentral:rRNA from 1 species